ACGAACGCUGGCGGCAGGCCUAACACAUGCAAGUCGAACGCUCCAGCAAUGGAGAGUGGCAGACGGGUGAGUAACGCGUGGGAACCUUCCCAAUGGUACGGAAUAGCUCAGGGAAACUUGAGGUAAUACCGUAUAAGCCCCUAGGGGGAAAGAUUUAUCGCCAUUGGAUGGGCCCGCGUCGGAUUAGCUAGUUGGUGAGGUAAUGGCUCACCAAGGCGACGAUCCGUAGCUGGUUUGAGAGAAUGACCAGCCACACUGGGACUGAGACACGGCCCAGACUCCUACGGGAGGCAGCAGUGGGGAAUAUUGGACAAUGGGCGCAAGCCUGAUCCAGCCAUGCCGCGUGAGUGACGAAGGCCUUAGGGUUGUAAAGCUCUUUUGGCGGGGACGAUAAUGACGGUACCCGCAGAAUAAGUCCCGGCUAACUUCGU
rnacentral:rRNA from 1 species